CAAUAAGCGGAGGAAAAGAAACCAACCGGGAUUGCCUCAGUAACGGCGAGUGAAGCGGCAAGAGCUCAAAUUUGAAAUCUGGCCCCUCCGGGGUCCGAGUUGUAAUUUGUAGAGGAUGCUUCGGGUGCGGCCCCUGUCUAAGUGCCCUGGAACGGGCCAUCGGAGAGGGUGAGAAUCCCGUCUGGGAUGGGGUGUCCGCGCCCAUGUGAAGCUCCUUCGACGAGUCGAGUUGUUUGGGAAUGCAGCUCUAAAUGGGUGGUAAAUUUCAUCUAAAGCUAAAUACUGGCCGGAGACCGAUAGCGCACAAGUAGAGUGAUCGAAAGAUGAAAAGCACUUUGAAAAGAGAGUUAAACAGCACGUGAAAUUGUUGAAAGGGAAGCGCUUGCGACCAGACUCGCUCCUGGGGUUCAGCCGGCUUUCGGGCCGGUGUACUUCCCCGGGGGCGGGCCAGCGUCGGUUUGGGCGGCCGGUUAAAGGCCCCUGGAAUGUAACGCCCCUCGGGGCGCCUUAUAGCCAGGGGUGUCAUGCGGCCAGCCUGGACCGAGGAACGCGCUUCGGCACGGACGCUGGCAUAAUGGUCGCAAACGACCCGUCUUGAAACACGGACCAAGGAGUCUAACAUCUACGCGAGUGUUCGGGUGUCAAACCCGUGCGCGCAGUGAAAGCGAACGGAGGUGGGAGCCCCCUCGAGGGGCGCACCAUCGACCGAUCCUGAUGUCUUCGGAUGGAUUUGAGUAGGAGCGUAGCUGUGGGGACCCGAAAGAUGGUGAACUAUGCCUGAAUAGGGCGAAGCCAGAGGAAACUCUGGUGGAGGCUCGCAGCGGUUCUGACGUGCAAAUCGAUCGUCAAAUUUGGGUAUAGGGGCGAAAGACUAAUCGAACCAUCUGGUAGCUGGUCUGC
rnacentral:rRNA from 1 species